rnacentral:rRNA from 1 species
ACGGGAGGCAGCAGUCGGGAAUAUUGCGCAAUGGAGGAAACUCUGACGCAGUGACGCCGCGUAUAGGAAGAAGGUUUUCGGAUUGUAAACUAUUGUCGUUAGGGAAGAGAAAGGACAGUACCUAAGGAGGAAGCCCCGGCUAACUACGUGCCAGCAGCCGCGGUAAUACGUAGGGGGCAAGCGUUAUCCGGAUUUACUGGGUGUAAAGGGAGCGUAGACGGCUUUGCAAGUCUGAAGUGAAAGCCCGGGGCUCAACCCCGGAACUGCUUUGGAAACUGUAGAGCUAGAGUGCAGGAGAGGUAAGUGGAAUUCCUAGUGUAGCGGUGAAAUGCGUAGAUAUUAGGAGGAACACCAGUGGCGAAGGCGGCUUACUGGACUGUAACUGACGUCGAGGCUCGAAGGCGUGGGGAGCAAACAGGAUUAGAUACCCUGGUA